CAAUGAAGGAAACAUGAUAAUGUGCACAGAAAUUGAAUUGGGUCUCUAAGCCUGUCUUUUUUUAUGCCAUUUGGCUUUGAUGUGGGGACAUGGUUCUGUAACAACAAUA